GCCUGAGUAGCGCAGUCGGUUAGCGCGUCAGUCUCAUAAUCUAAAGGUCGUGAGUUCGAGCCUCACCUGGGGCA
rnacentral:tRNA from 1 species